CACUGGCCCCAUCCAGCCCUCAGACACGUCACACUGGCAUUUCAACUCUGCCAACUUUCAAGCCUCAGGCCCACCAUGCUGGGCCUACACUGGGCUUCUGGUCCCAGAGGCUGCCGCCUGAGGCAGGGCCUGUGUUCUCCUGGUCCCUACAUGAGGACCAGGCCAGCUAACGGUCCCUUCAACAGCCCCCUCUUCCCUGAGCACCGCAACCACCCAUCAGGACUAACACGGGCUUGGCAUCUGCACUGACGGAGCAUGUCCAAGCACACCUCCUUUGUCAUUCCUGCAGUCCAUAAGGGCAGGAAUUCCCAGUUUCCAAGAAGGAGACUGAACCAGGGACCAGCAGAGCCAAGGAUCCAUCCACAUCAGUCUCAACUCCAAAGCCUGCAUUUUUCCCCACUAUGGCCUGCUCCCACAGACCCGCUGCCAGAUCCCCCUCCUCCAAUGCUGACCAAGAUCCGGGGGGGAUCGUGUGUGCCUUACCGUCUUAGAGGGGAUAUAGACGUAGGGCAAGUUCCGGUCUUCACACAUAACUGGGAGAUGGCAGUAGACCUCAAUGGGCAACGUGUCUCCUGCCAAAACCAUGAUCCUGCGGUGAGAGAAACACCGUCAUUUCUAACUUGCCCAUUCCUUCUUUCAGUCAAUAGUGCUACCCUACCUCUGGACAGAGAAAAUGGCCUCGGCCCUCAAGGACCCCAGAUGUGAAUCUCCCACCUUCUGAAAGCUCCUCUGUUGGCACCCCUUCCUUCGAGUGGCCUUUCAGUGCUGGUUCCUCACAGCCUAAUCCUUGGCUGCCCUCUCAGUACCUUCUCCCUGGCUGACCUGGGCCACGGCCACGGCAUCAGGUGCCAUGUAUCUCAGGACUUUCUAUGAGGGAAUGAAGCUGGGCUCGACCCUGCGUGAGCCCCGGAACUCACUUUCCCGGUGGUGUUCCUCUGAGCUCUUGUGAGUGACGUGUACCAGAGGGAACUCACCGGCGGCUCCAUUACCUCGUGUAUAGGGGGCGGAUCACAUUUACCGACUUUCGCCGAGCACCUUCCAAGCAGUGGGGAUACCCGUGCUACCGUCCAGAAACGCAACACCCGGCGGCAGGGGGGCCUUACCCUUUCUCGCCUUUGUUGAUAAACUUCUGAACCUCCUUCACCCCGCGCCGAAUCUGCUUCUGCUUCACGGCUGCAACGACAGAAGAGUCAAUCGGGGGGCGUCAGCCCGCCCCCCGCGCCACCACCGGCCACCGCGGCGGCCGCAAGCACCUUUCUUGAUGCACUUGUAGAGCUUCCGCGUGAGACGGCGAGAAGCCAGGGGCUGCGCGAUGGGGUUCAGAUUCACCAGCAGCUCGUGGUAAGUGCGCUCCCCGAGGCACGCCUCCGCCUGAGCCUCCGGCCCGUCCGGAUCUGUCUUUAUUUUGGUCAUCGCAGCGGCCGCGGCAAACGGAUACCCCGCGCCGGGCGAAUACACGCGGCCCGGGCCUCAGGAAUCACUUCCGGGUUAUCCCGUACUGCGGGAAGCCGGCCGUACAGCACAGCCAAUUAGGGGACGAAGUCUCUGACUCAAACCAAUCGCUGACGCUCAGCUCUAACUGCAGACCGGGAGGGGCGGAGUCUCGGCUGAAGGGGCGGGACUC